rnacentral:rRNA from 1 species
UACGUAGGGGGCGAGCGUUGUCCGGAUUUAUUGGGCGUAAAGCGCCCGCAGGCGGUGCGCCAAGUGUGGGGUGACAGCGACCGGCUUAACCGGUCGAGUGUCCUACAGACUGGCGCACUUGAGGGCCACAGAGGGACACAGAAUUCCGGGUGGAGUGGUGAAAUGCGUAGAUAUCCGGAGGAAUACCAAAGGCGAAGGCAGUGUUCUGGGUGGUACCUGACGCUCAGGGGCGAAAGCUAGGGGAGCGAAAGGG